UUCUUUCCGCUCUACCAACUUUGUGAAAUUGACAACUCUGCUUUAUAUGAUUUUUUUAGGAACUGAAACUAGUGGUAUUUCUAGCACAUAGAAGCUGUCAUCUUUGUUUUCUUUCCCUGUUUCAAAUAUUCAAGAUGGCAUUGUUUUCUUUACUUUCUUUAAAGACAUCUUGAACUCAUAGUUACUUGUUUGAUGUUUCAAGUUUGGAGUUAACAGGUUAAGAAAGAUCGGCUUUGGGACACUAUCGGAACGAGAGCUCAUUGCUAGUUUAGGAAAUCAUUUUCUCAAAUCUUAAUUAAGAAUUUAAGUGCAUUGCUGAUCGAGUGCAAACUUAACAUUGCAAUACAUAGGAAUUGACUUAUUUUACAAACAUCUAGUCAAUUCUUUAACCCUUUUAGGAAUUAAUAUAUUCUUUUUAUUUUACAUUACAAUACAUAGCCUUAAUUAAAUUUUAGUCCGGAGGGUCAACCAUUUAAUAUGGAUCUUAAAGGGUGCCUUAAGAACCUUCCCUUUAGAUUAAUUGAACCCUUACCUAGAGCCUUUAGGUUAAGUAGACCAUUAACAGAGUUAAUACUUUAUUAAAUUACUUUAAUCACUUUAGUUGUCCUAAUUCACCUUAGAAAUAAUUAGGUGGCGACUCUCUUAAUUAAUUAACCUCGGAAUUACCAAUAUGUUAUACACUAAUUUGACUCGUGUUAAAAUGGGGGAUAACAAUAAUCCCUCAGGCUUCUUUGUGAUGAAAGGGAAGACGAGUUGGCACACUUGCGGCAUGAGGCUAGUCGCAGUCUGAACUACGAAAGCUACCUCGAGGAGCAGCUGCAGAAAAAAACAGAAGACCUGGCAUGCCUUAGGAACAAAGUUGGUUAAGCCAAGCGUGAGUGCGAUGAGCUAAGGGCUCGGGUGGAUACCCAAAUAUCGGCUAAGAAAGAUUCUUUGGCCAAGGCUUCCGCCUUCGAAGUGCAACUUCAUAACGCUAAUGAGAACAGCUUGGUCCGAACGGACAUGAUUCCAAGACUUGAGUCUGAGCUCCUGAAGAUGAAGGCCGAAGUUGUGGAUGCUCGGUCUGAAGCCGAAAUAAUUCGAGCUAAGGCUGAUAAGAAGGUGGCUGCCUAUCUGAAGGAGGCUGCCGAUGCUCGUGCUGAGCUAAGAGGGUCUCUCGACCAGGGGAGUAGGAAUAGUAUACGAGGUGCAAAUUUCGUAGGGAAACCCUCGAGGCAAUUCAUGUCAGGGGCUUCGAUCUCUCGGAAGAGAUAAAGCAGGCGAAGGCAGAAGAAUAUGAUGCUAAGUUUCAUCUGUCUGAUGCCGAAGAUGGUGAGGAAGAAGUUGAUGGACUAUAGUCCCCGAGGGGGACGUAGAUUAGCUUAGGCCUUUCCUUUCUUGUUUUGCGUAGAGUGCUUUCAAAGAACUGUAAAUAAAGCUUGUAUUUUUUCGCAUAUAUGUAUAAAAAGGAAACCUCGUGGCUUUAUUUUACAUA